UUGAAGCCACAAGUGUGGAUGGUCUGGGCCCAGGUUGGAGCAGCCCCCGAGGAUCCCAUACAUGGCUGGGGAGGGGUGAGGCCAUGGCUCAGGAAGGGUCAGGCAGCCCUCUACACCCUCCUCACCACCCCAGCCUCAGGAAGAAGCCGUGCUGCCUCACGAAUGGGACAUCCAGUGAGAUGAGUGUGGGGGCCACAGACCUGGCUCCUGGCCUCUGAAUGCCGUUUCUGCAGGGGCGGGCUCUGUGGAAACAUGGGCCCUGAUGAUGCCUUCUGAGGGUGCUCUGGGAACCUGUUCAGCAGGAUGCUGGAAAGAACUGGUGCCCAUCCCAGGGGACCCAAGGGGGUCCUACAGGUGCAGCUGCAGGUCAGGGGGAAGUCCUGAGAUGCCCCGUGAAUAAUGAGAGCUCUUGAGGUGCAGGCUGUGCCCAGGGUCUGCUGCCUGGGUGGGGCACAUGGGAGACCUUCCCUCCCUUGAGGCCACCUUGCCUGCCAGGGGACCACACAGUGGUAUCCUAUGAGGCAGGAGCAGCCCCUGUGGGAUGUUAUUGGUGAGAAGCAAUGAGAUCUGGUUUUGCAAGGUGGUGGGGGGAGGCGGGGAGAAGGGCUGAGAGUGGCCAUGUGGGGAGCCAGUGAGCAUGCUGGUGGAGGGAGGGGAUGGGCACCGGGACCCUGCAAGGGGCCGUGGCGUGGUGGUGAUGUUUCAUUGUGCUGUUUACAUGGGCCUCCGUGUCUUCGGAGGGAGAGCAAACCUUGGCGUCUUCCUGACCACUGACCACACGCAUGAACUCACAGCAAAUUAAUCAAAUCAUUCUUUUCCAGGAAAACAAACACAGAAUCCAUGUUCAGGACAUUUCCCCUCCCCAGACAAUGACCCACUGGGUGAAACUCCAGAAAACUGCCUCGUCCACACAGACCUGGGAAGCCCAGACCCAGCCUGUGGGCAGUCAGAUGGUGGUCCCCAGAGUUCCUGCUGCUGGUCCAGCACAGCUGGCAGGUUAUAGGGGAGGGUCAUGUCCCCCUGGGAGGCUCAGGAGGCAGAUUUCUGCAGAAAGAGUUAAAAAGCCAUCCAGGGUUAGUCACACAGAGGAGGAGGUGACACAUUCACAUUCGAGGGCUGAGGAGCGUUGUCCUGGUGCCUGUGUACGACCUGCUCCUCCUCCAGGAGCGGAGCUGCAGAGGCCCGGGGCUGAUGGGGAAGGCACCACGCCCUGCCAAGCUCCCAGCCUCUCGCAGGGCCUCCCCUGCAGCGGCUCAGACGACGCUGUCCACCUGGGAGCAUCACCCUCACAGUGACCCCACUUGGGAACCAAAGACACGGGGCCCAGGAGGCCAAAGACAGGAGGCCCAGGCCCCCACUGGGGCACCCUGGACAGACCAGGCCCCCACCACGGCAGCACCCUGCACUCCUGAAUCUCCAGGUCACCCACCAAGUCAUUUCCUCUGUGUCUUUUCCUUGUUCCAAGCUCUCCACCUCCCUGAACCCGAGCACACAUGGCCUGGAGGAUAUACUGUGUGACUGUGCAUUUUACGGCAGUUUUACAAGAGUGACGUGUCAUAUGAACUUUCCACCUGUGUCUGGGAUGCCCCUGAGUCACCUGGACACGUCUCUUCCAUGGAAGGCUGCACAGGCAGAUGCUGUUAUGACUGAACUGUGUCGCCCCUAAAUUCUCACGCUGAAGCUUUGACCCCCAGAAUCUCAGAAUAUGACUUGAAGGCCCUUGAAGAUUGGGCCUUUAAAGAGUGACUCAGUGAAACCAGGCUGAUAGGUUGGGCUCAAACCCAGUCUGACUGGUGUCCUUGUAAGAAGAGGAGAUGUGGACGCAGACACGCUGAGGGGAGGAGGCUGCAGGGAGGGACAGCCGUCUGCAGGCGAAGGAGAGAGGCCUUGGGGGCAACCGGUGCUGCUGACACCAUGAUCUCGGAGCUCGGCCUCCAGGAUGGUGAGACAUGCAUUCCCGCCCCAGCCUGUGGCGUUGUCGUGGCAGUGGAGCCCACCGCACACCCAGCAUGCCAGCGCCGUGGGUGCCCAGCAUGCCAGCGCCGUGGGUGCCCAGCAUGCCAGCGCCAUGGGUGCCCAGCAUGCCAAGGGGCUGGAUUCGCAGAUGCUCCUGGCUGUAGCUGAUGUGGCCGGACCACAGUGCUCCGCAUUCCUCUCGGCACACAAGGCUCGCCUGCCCCACAUCAGCCCCUGUGGCCAUCAGCACUUUUGCUUUUUCAUUUUUGCCAGUGUGACAUGUCCCAAGUGACACCUCACCCCUCAUGAAGCCAGUGCCCACCCAGGUCCCUUCCAGCAACGCACAGCCCCUGCUGCCCAGGGCAGGCCACCCUCGUGGUGACGACCAACUCCCGGGCAGGGUUGCCCCCAAGCCAACAGCUCCGUCCUCUCCCAGUCCUCCGCACUCCUGAGGUAUCUCCCCAGAGGCCCCCACCUCCAGAUGCCCCUGUCCCAGAGAGCAGCCCCCGUGUCUGUGGUGCUCGCUUCCCUGACAGCCAGUGCACCCGAAACCUUCUCAGGUCUGAUGGCUCGUGGACUUGCUCGUUGGUUCGCCCAGUCAAAGCCCUCUCCCAUCUUCCCAUAGAGUUUGUCUCUUUCUUGACAACUUAUAAGAGUUCUUAGUACAGGGGCUGGCCCCGUGGUUGAGUGGUUAAGUAUGUGCACUCUGCUUCGGCGGCCCAGGGUUUUGCUGGUUCGGAUCCUGGUUGCGGACAGGGCACUGCUCGUCUGGCCAUGCUGAGGUAUCAUCCCACAUGCCACAACUAGAAAGACCCACAAUGAAAAAUACACAACUAUGUACCAGGGGGUGGGGGGCUUUGGGAGAAAAAGGAAAAAUAAAAUCUUAAAAAAAAAAAAGUUCUUAGUACAAUAUGGACUUUAGCUAUCUGUCACCUUAAUUAAACUAGUUUCUCAAAUCAAUGAUUUGUCUGCUGACUUGGCUUGUGGAAUAUUUUGCUACAUUCAAGUUUCAAGUUUGAUAUAGUUAAGUGUGACUGUAGGGAAAUAUGGAAGUAUAUAUAUAAGAGAUUACUGUGUUUCUCCAGACAGAGUCUGUAUAAGGAGAAGAAAACCAAAAAAAUUAAUAUCCUCAAAGAGAUGAGAGAAAGUAUCGUGACCACAGAAAAAGAUCAGAAUGCUACAGAAGUAAUUAUUCAGAGAACAAAAACAAGCUCUUGGAAAUAAACGUGACGGCAGAAAUGAAAAGCUCAGUGAAGGAGCUGGAAGUCAGAGUUCAAGCGUCUCCUUGAAAGUAAAGCCAAAGACCAAAAAAAAAAAGGAAAUAGGAAAGGUUUUUGGAGUCCAGUCUGAGAGGCCCGAGAUCCUGACAGUGUUUACCACAGAAAGAGGGAGAGAGAAGACACAGGGAGGAGAUAAUUUAAAAUUAGUAAUUCAGGGGCCGGCCUGGUGGUGCGGUGGUUAAGUGUGCACGUUCUGCUUUGGUGGCCCAGGGUUCGCCGGUUCAGAUCCCUGGUGCUCGGCAAGCCAUGCUGUGGUAGGCGUCCCACAUACAAAGUAGAGGAAGAUGGGCAUGGAUGUUAGCUCAGGGCCAGUCUUCCUCAGCAAAAAGAGGAGGAUUGGCAGCAGAUGUUAGCUCAGGGCUAAUCUUCCUCAAAAAAAAAAAAAAAAAUUAGUAAUUCAAGAAAAUUUCUGGAACUGAAAGACAGGAAUUUCCAGAUUGAAAGAGCUGCUGGGCACCUAGCAAUGGGAUGAAAAUGAAGCCACAGAAAGGCCAUUUUCAUGAACUGUGAGAACACUGAGGACAAAAAGAAGCCCUAAAACUUCAAGCCAGGAAAACCAACUGGGAGCAGCUCCAGUGGCCUGGUGGUUAUAGUUUGGAUGCUCGGCUUCGGCGGCCUGGGUUUGGUGUCCCCUGUCAGUAUUGUCUGUCAGUAGCCAUGCUGUGGUGGUGGCUCACAUAGGAGAACCAGAAGGACCUACAACUAUGUACUGGGACUUUGGGGAGAAAAGAAAGAGGAAGGUUGGCAACAGAUGGUAACUCAGGGCAAACCUUUCCCAACAACAACAAAAAAAGAAAAAAUGAAAAACCGAGUGGGUUUCACACCAUGGAUCAGCAGUGACAAUAACAUCGCAUUUACCCACAGCAGCAUUGGAAGCCGGGAGAUGCGAGGACAAUGUUCUCACAGCUCGGAGGGAAAAUGGUGACUGUGCUGGAGUUUUAUACCCAACCAAACUGUCAUCUGGUGAGCAUGGACUAAAGGCAUUUUAAAGCCACGUGUCUGCCUGCCAUGUGCCCUUUCUCAGGAAACUACUGAAGGACUACUCCACCAAACAAGGAGUAAACUGAGAAAGGGGAAGGCAUGGGAUCCCGGAAAAUCCAACCCAGGGAAGAAGCAAAGGGAAUCUUUAGGAUGAAGACCAAGGGAGCUCUCAAGGUGCCAGCCCUGCCACAGACCCAGGCAGGAUGGUCCAGGACUGCGCAGGUGGGGGCUCCUGCAGGGACCUCCUUGGAAAUACCCUUGUGUUAGAACGUAAGCCACUGGUGGGAGCCUGAGGGUGAACUGGUGAUGAGUUCAGAGAAAACUCAGCUGGCACGAAAAAAGAAAGGCAAUUAUUAACUCCAGGGAAAACAGCGCAUCUGUGGGUAGGAACAGUAACCAUGGCAUGCCACAGGCCUGGCGUGAAUGCAAAUCUAAUUGCUGAAUACAGAGCUAACUAGAGAUAUAAGGUAACUCUGUUGGGAAUAUAGGAGGACCCAAGUGUGUGUGGGAGUGGGGAGAAGUGAAGAAAUAAUUGGCAUCUUCCUUAGAGUGAAUUUAACAGAUAGCACCUGAGACGGAAACACUGAGAAGCUGAUAUUCAGUCACGUUCUCACGCAGACGCUGGCACAGGAGUCGCAUGGGAAGAUGGAAGUGGUUGCCCGUGGGGCUGGUGUCGAGGGUCUGGCAGAGGCUGGAUUUGUUCAAGCCUCACAGAAAUGUCUGACUCUUAAACUACAUACAAGUAUAACUUUGAUAAAAAAUGAAACUAAACAUUCAGUUGGUGCACUCCCCAUCCUCUGAGGCCUGGCAGUCAUUUCAGCAAAACGGAAAUGACCUGUAAUGAAAGGUCAGCUGGAACUUGGCUGUGAAUGUAUCUGUUCUCAUUCCAUUUUCAAGGAAAUGUCUCUGAGCACCUUUCCUGACUCUUCUACGUAACAGGCCACCUCACAUUUCCACCCCCCUUUUGAUAGUUGAUAUUCUGCUGGACAGCAUCCAUUUCUCUGGGUUUUCCCAGUAUGGGGCCACAUGCAGUCCAGCACCCCCAGCCCACUGUCCACCCUCCGGGUCAGGCACGGUCUCCAUGGCGGCCACUCAUUUUGCUGCGUGGCCGUGAGGCUGUGUCGCUAUGGCGCUACCCUGUGCCUCGGGCCUCAUCUCAGUUCACUGUGCCUGUGUUACCAUGGCACCCUGGGCACUGAAUCUCGGCAGGAUUGAAUUCCACACAUAGACGUGUGUCUUGUCAAACAGGAUAAAUAUGGUUUCCUUGCAAGAGUGUCUGGCCGUUGUCGUGUCCAGGAAACGUAAACCAAGCCAUCUGGGUCUUGCUCCCUGCCUCCAGGGCCCCCAGGUUUCAGGCUGUCAUCUUCAGGGAUGGCUGGGUCAUAAAUAGGCCCGUGAACAGUUUAGGCCCUUCCCACAGGAAGUUCAGAAACACACACAAACGUCACAGAGGUCCAAGACCCCGACUUCUCCUGGGGAGCCCUGGCAUCACCUCGCAGCCUUUCCAUGGAGAAGACUGGGGCUGAAUUUCCAACAGGCCACGGUGCUGUGGGGUCUCGGCAGCCCGGCCGACCAGCACUGGCCCAUUUUCAAGCCCCAGCUUUCCCAUCUGUUUUCAAACACUCCCACGUGUGUGUGGGCACAAUCCCCACCCAUCCCCCCAACAAAUAGCAUAAAUGGCCGCUUUCUGUAAGACUGUCCAGCAAGGGCAUCCACUUCCAGAGGCCCCCACCUUCUCCCGUGGGCUCCUUGCCGCCCAGGGCACAGCCCCAUGCUCACAGCUGGGACCUUUCCAGAGUCCCUGAUGCCCCAGUGCCACCAGCAGCAUCAGGACACCUCAGAGACAGCAGGCUGGACCGCGGCUCAGAAGGGAAAGCUUCGGAAUGGGCGCUGGUGGGGGUGGGGCACGGGUUCUGGAGCCAGCUCCGUCCAGAAGCGAUCAGGUAACCUCGGACCCCAGGAGACAAACCUCUCCGGACGCUCCCCAUGAGCCUCAGUCCUACCUGGUUCCCGAGGAUGGCGGCAUCCCGGCACGGCUCCUCAGGGCACCCGCUCUGCCUUAUCAUGGCCUGGCUGGUCGGAAUGCGGUGGAAACCUUUGCCUGGUACAAGCGGCCUCUGCAACACAGCCCAGGAAUUUUGCAUUGAAUAAUUUUUAACUUCUGCUCUGAGAGAAAACCAGGGUUGUGUAAAGUGUCUGUCUACACAGGAAUGCCAAGGGGCUUUCAUUUGCAAGUAAAUACCUCAAUAAUAACGAGGAAAAC
rnacentral:lncRNA from 1 species